rnacentral:rRNA from 1 species
CCUACGGGUGGCUGCAGUGGGGAAUAUUGCGCAAUGGGCGAAAGCCUGACGCAGCGACGCCGCGUGAGGGAUGAAGGUCUUCGGAUCGUAAACCUCUGUCAGCAGGGAAGAACGGUCACUGUGCUAAUCAGCAGUGAAUUGACGGUACCUGCAAAGGAAGCACCGGCUAACUCCGUGCCAGCAGCCGCGGUAAUAAGGAGGGUGCGAGCGUUAAUAGGAAUUACUGGGAGUAAAGCGCUCGUAGGCGGUAUGUCAAGUAAAGGGUGAAAUCACCGCGCUCAACGUGGGAACUGCCUUUGAAACUGUCAAACUGGAGUGUGUAGGAGGAUAGUGGAAUUCCAGGUGUAGGAGUGAAAUCCGUAGAGAUCUGGCGGAACAUCAAUUGCGAAGGCGACUAUCUGGCACAUAACUGACGCUGAGGAGCGAAAGCGUGGGUAGCAAACAGGAUUAGAUACCCGUGUAGUC